rnacentral:misc_RNA from 1 species
CUAAAGUGCAUUCACAAAAUGUCCAGCUAGUGCUCCAAGAAAAUUCAAGACAAUUUCAAAAUUAAAUAUUUUUGUACAACAAAUGCAUUCAAAGUAUGCAGAGUAACUAUAAAGAAUUAACAAAUGCAAUUACUGUUUAACACAACAGCUAGCAUCAAGGACAUUCUCUGAUGGUUCAUCAGUAUUUUUGCUGAACUCAACGCUCAAUGAGUCCCAACCUUUUACCACAAUCAACCAAUACAAGUGGGUGAGCAAGGCUCAACUAAGGAAAUUCACAAUCCUGUUCAAUAGAUUUAAGCCAAAAACAGUUUCCUCACAGUUGACUUUUAUAGACACAUUCAAUGGUUCAAUGCAUUUACCUUCAGCAGUAAUGGUAAUUAAGCAGGGAAAUGCGUUGCUCAGAAUCUCACUGCUGAAUCGUAAGCAUAAACCAGAGGCAUCAUCAAGAUUGGCAGCAACUGGCAUGUCAACAGAUACGAGAAAAACAUUAGCAUUGCUAAGCAUCUUUACAGCUAGGCUCUCACAGACCAAGAGAAAUUUGUCUCUCAUUAACAUGUCACCCUUGUCCUUGUUCAGCUCUUCAAUGUGGUGAGUGAAGGUGCAACUUCUCAUGUACUCAAACAUUCCAGGGAGAUGAGACUCUUUAUCUGUGAAGGCUUCAAUGUUCAUUGGAAGUGGUUUCACAAAAUAUCCAAUGUCAGGCCGCAACUUGACAGGGAGCUUCUUACCAUUACAAUGUAAGGCCAGCUUCAAAGGCAGUAAAUGAUGACGGAAUCGAACAUGGAGAAUCUUCUUUGUCCUCUGACCUGGCUCCAAAAAAGUUAUCUCUUCCAUAGGAACCAGUACAGGGACAUCACUGUGAGAUGUCAAGGAGCUUUCAGUAGAAUCUGAAGCUUUGUUAGAUUCCUCAUCCACCAACCUCACUUCUGAAAUGUUCUCAGUGGAACAGUUCUCAAAAGAAACUUCUACACAUACAAGUAGAGGUGAUAUGCUUGAAAUUUCAGAUGAAAAUGAAUAAUCCACCUUCAAGCCAUUUCCACUUGCAGGAUCUAAGAGUCCAUAGCUUUUUGGUUCAACUCGGCUUCCAAUAUCCCUGAUGGAAAUUCUUGCUGAAGAUCUGCAGACUUGACUUCGUUCUGAUGCACUGGGAUUUGACAGAUCAGGCUGCUCAUCCAACCAUGAUUCAAGAGCUGUCUUUGACAUCAUUUCCCCCAAAUCAGUGGAGUUAGAUUGAGGAACUCCAUUCUGAUUUACAAGGGCAUCCCCAAUAUCUGAUACCUGAAUCAGUGGAUCUGCAUUAUUUCCAUUCCCACUUGCAGAACCAGUCUCGUCACUGCCACCAUCACCAUCUGAAUCAGUCAUAGAACGUUCUGAGCUAUAAUCAGAUGCAGUUUCCUCAUCUGAUGAUCCAGAUAAUGAGCCAGAACCAUCUGUCCCCUCCCCUAACUUAUCUGUGUUAAGGUCUGAGAGCUGGCUAUGCUCAUCAUGAAGCACACUACAAGGUUUUGGGAGAGGUUCAUAUCCUGGAGCUGCAUGAAGGACUAUCUGCGAGAGAGAACCAGGAAGAUAGAUCCUAUAAUUAAUAGGCUCCAAAGACAAUUGUUUUGUUUGCCCUUGGAGGAUGCAUUCUGCAAGCAAAUGUGGCAGGUCCUCCUUUUGAGGCGAAUAAUUCACAUAAUCCUUGACUUCUUGAGAACCUAAUUUUGAUGAGACAAUUUUCUUUAGAAAGCGAGCUCUGUCACGAACAUCAUAAUUCAAAUCAAACUCAGCCAAUUCAAGCACAUAGCUCCCUACUUUUUUUGAAGUCCAAAGAUCUUCCUCCUUUGCUCCUAAUAGCACCUUAACAGUAGUAUUAAGAAUUUGAAGCUUUGUUUCCAAUGCUUCUGAAGAAAAGCUCCAUGCAAGAUAUUGAAGUACAGUGGUUACCAUCCUUGGUAUUAUCUCCCCUAAAUUGCUGUACUCCCCCAUCAUCCAAAUUAUUAUUGCACGGGCUGCAGGCACCUUGAUUGAAUCCAAACUACGAACCAACUGAAUUACAACCUUUUCAUGAUUGGGAGGAUCUUGUUUUAUAAUUGACUUAAUUGAAGUUAAUACUUGAACUAAAACGCCUGCUUCUCCUUCAAUAGAUCCAAAUUCAGUGGUCAAAAGUUCUUGUCUAGUCAGCGCCAACAGCCCUUCUAAGAAUGUAAUAGCCAUUUUGGGAAGUUUUUGAGCACAUAAACCAAUUGCAGCAACAGCAUCAGCAGCGAAUCUCCUGUCUGGAUCUCGAAUAUAAUCCUAGAAACAAAUUAAAAUUAAGCAUCAACUCAUGCACUUACAUCCCAUAUUCAGUCAAUACACUCAAUAAUUGUGAUGGAAGUUAACAAAAUAUGUAACAGCAAAAUCUUCUUCCCUUGUUCUGAUUCUUUUCAAGUCUCUCUUACUCCUUUCUCCCUCCAAUUUCUUCUAAAUCUCUCUGAUUCCUCUUAAUACUUUGUUAGGGUCCCAAAACCCUGAAACUCUUUGAAGAUAGAUGAAAUAGAUGACUCUGUAGCAAUAGUACAAAGAAUCUCAAGCUUCAAAGCUUUUAUUUGAUAUGAAUCUGAAGAAAUUAUGAAAAAAUCUUCAAAGUGUGGAGCAAAAAAAGAAGGCAUUGCUUUUGCAAACACUUGAAUGUUGCAAAGGACCACGUAUUUCGAAGUACUGGAUGAUCUCAGCAAAAACAAAAGUGGUUUAACAAUUCUUUUGACAUCCUCACAUGGCACCAUAAUCCAGUGUACGCCUGCUGCUGCUAGUACUACUGCACUAUUGUUACUCCACAGCAAUGGUGAAGUACACUGGAGCAGGAUCUUCACGUCAUCAUUGCUUUUGCCAGAUGUAAAUUUUGCAUUGUGAAAUUCAGAGAAAAUCCUGUUGUUAUAACUUGACCGUGAUAAGUAUUCAUCAGGCCCUUCAAUAUAACACCUGGAAACCAUACUUGCCAUUUCAGAGUUGAAUUUCAAAUCCAUGCUACUGUCUUUUUCUAAUGAAAAUUCGACGUCCGAACCAUCCUUUUCAGACUGGGGACUUUCCUUGCCAUGUAAAGAGAACAUUAUAGAUUUUUUUACUAGACCAUGCCUUGCUAUUGCAUAGCGCAAAAGGAUUCCAAUUAGAACUAUUUGACCCCACUCUUCCACAUCAGGAAGAACCUCACACAACCUUUUAUAACUUCUUCCAACCAAAGAAUAAUUGUUUGGACAAACAGAAUUAAAUGCAGCAGCAGCAGCUCCAACUACUCCAGGGGAAUGGUCACUUAGCAAUAUUCCAACAAUCUCUUCAAUUGUGGAGGAAUGUUCCUCCAGUUGCAAAUCAUGUAACUUGGGAAGAGCAUUAGCAGCACAUUUUCUGACAUAAACAGAUGGAUCUCUAGCACACUUUCCCACAGCCACCAAAACAAGGGGUGCAAUUACAUGUAGACGGAUUCCUGCCAUGGUACGAAGUGCCCAGGCUCUCACCAAUGGAUUUGUGUCUCCCAAAUCCUUCUGGAAGGAAUUGAUUGACAGCAAAGCUUCAUUUGGACGCUUUUCAGCAUAAUGCAGCAAGUACAAGUAAACCAGCUUCUUCACUUCUAAUGACUGAGAUGCCACAUUUUUAACCACCUGAGGGAAGAAAUUGGAAACAUCGAAGCCUUGAGCGAUGAGAGCGAGGAGACGUUUAAGAGCUUCACAUUUCUCGGAGUCGAACUUGCUAUCGAGCAAGGGAGCGAUGUUAACGUCCUCUGGGUCGUCAUAUAAGUGGGCGUCUGUACCAAUCCGAAACAUGAUCGUAGAUGCCUUGCUUAGCGUAUCUGCUGUAGCACCGAAAUGGGGAAACAUUUUUUACAAGGAAGAGAGGUUUUGUAAAAACAAAAAUUGAUUAGCACAAUUGAAGAGAAACCAUUCUGUGAAUAGUUUAUCUAAAAAAAUUAUGAGGAAAAGCGCAAUAUAAGAGCGUGCAGAGGUGACAACAUACGAGUAAUUUUGUAGAAACAAGUAGGGGUGCCUG